UUUGACCUCAAAUCAGGUAGGACUACCCGCUGAACUUAAGCAUAUCAUAAAAGCCGG
rnacentral:rRNA from 1 species